rnacentral:tRNA from 1 species
UAGGGAGACCAUCUGAUAGUCGACCGAACCUAAACAAUAGGUCGUUGUCAGUCAUCCCUGGUCGUUCGAGGAAUAGAUGUCAAAGCUUUCAAACUGUUAACUGGUUCGGAACUCGCGGGCUAUUAGCUCAGUUGGUUAGAGCGCACCCCUGAUAAGGGUGAGGUCCCUGGUUCAAAUCCAGGAUGGCCCACCUGGAAAAAAGUGAUGAAUUGUCAGUAAUGAGUAAUGGAUAAUCAAGGAUUAAUUCAGGAUUAAUUCAGGACUCAUACAAUCAAAAUCAGAACUUACAAGUGUGGGGGUAUAGCUCAGUUGGUAGAGCGCCUGCCUUGCACGCAGGAAGUCAGCGGUUCGAGUCCGCUUACCUCCACUCUCACUAACUAUUACCACCGCCAAAAAAACCCAAAAAAAUAGAAAUCAGCACCCAGACUAACUUGGUCAACAAAGAAGUCGGAAUGCUGGAGUCUAGAACUCUAGUCAGAACCUUGAAAACUGCAUAGAAAUUAAGUCAUCAAAGCGUGUCAGUCAUCCGAGAAAUCGGAGUAUCUGACCAGCGACCACCAUGAAAAAAUCAAGU